rnacentral:rRNA from 1 species
GCGGAGGAUCCUCGGCGGGUCCGCCCGCAGAUUGGACAACAUUCAAACCCUUUGCAGUUGCAAUCAGCGUCUGAAAAAACAUAAUAGUUACAACUUUCAACAACGGAUCUCUUGGUUCUGGCAUCGAUGAAGAACGCAGCGAAAUGCGAUAAGUAGUGUGAAUUGCAGAAUUCAGUGAAUCAUCGAAUCUUUGAACGCACAUUGCGCCCCUUGGUAUUCCAUGGGGCAUGCCUGUUCGAGCGUCAUUUGUACCUUCAAGCUCUGCUUGGUGUUGGGUGUUUGUCUCGCCUCUGCGUGUAGACUCGCCUUAAAACAAUUGGCAGCCGGCGUAUUGAUUUCGGAGCGCAGUACAUCUCGCGCUUUGCACUCAUAACGACGACGUCCAAAAGUACAUUUUUACACUCUUGACCUCGGAUCAGGUAGGGAUACCCGCUGAACUUAAGCAUAUCA